rnacentral:rRNA from 1 species
GAUGAACGCUGGCGGCGUGCCUAACACAUGCAAGUCGAGCGAUUCUCUUCGGAGAAGAGCGGCGGACGGGCGAGUAACGCGUGGGUAACCUGCCCUGUACACACGGAUAACAUACCGAAAGGUAUGCUAAUACGAGAUAAUAUACUUUUAUCGCAUGGUAGAAGUAUCAAAGCUUUUGCGGUACAGGAUGGACCCGCGUCUGAUUAGCUAGUUGGUAAGGUAACGGCUUACCAAGGCGACGAUCAGUAGCCGACCUGAGAGGGUGAUCGGCCACAUUGGAACUGAGACACGGUCCAAACUCCUACGGGAGGCAGCAGUGGGGAAUAUUGCACAAUGGGCGAAAGCCUGAUGCAGCAACGCCGCGUGAGCGAUGGAGGCCUUCGGGUCGUAAAGCUCUGUCCUCAAGGAAGAUAAUGACGGUACUUGAGGAGGAAGCCCCGGCUAACUACGUGCCAGCAGCCGCGGUAA